GUGCCCUGUAGCACAAUGGGUCGUGCGUUGGACUUCGAAUCCAAAUGUUUCGAAUCCCACCUGGGAUG